rnacentral:lncRNA from 1 species
UUCCAUGAGUAUAUCAUAUGCAAUGUCCACAUCUCAUGAUUCUAAUAAAGCAUCAGAAAGAUCAAGUUGAUCGAAUGUUUCACAUUUCUGAUUAUAUGAUAUAUGAACUCCUGUUACGAACAAACAUUCCUGUCCUACGCAAUAAGUCAGGGACCAAUGGUAAUUGACUACUUUGUACAUGUAGAUUGUAUGGACUUCAAAUACAAUCUUAUUAAAUUGCAAGCAUUUAGCUGGCGGCAGAAAACAAAUAAUUCAACUGGAAAAAUGAAAGAACCACAAAUAAAAGGAGUCUUUCAUCAUCCCAGGGUGUACCAUAUUUUCUGCCACAUCAUUGAGGUAAAAGGCUUCGAAUCUACAUCACAGAAUCCUCUCACAGAGAAUUGACAUGUAUUAUCCUUACGAACCACAUACAAUUUGUUAGCAGACAAUGUCCAAAUUUCCACGUGCAUCAUAGUGCGUAUAACCUAAAAUUUAUCAUCUAAACAGCAACAAAGAAUCAGUAACAAACACCUUGAGGACAUCAAAACAUUAGCUAUCAUAAGAGAAGCACAGUUGAGAGAGAGAGAGAGAGAGAGAGAGAGAGAGAGAGAGAGAGAGGCUAUAAUAGUAACUGCCUUAACUGCUAAAGGAAUUGGAAAUAGCAGGUUGAGGAGAAUUGCUGCGGGAAUCAACUAAAUAAUCUCUAAUGGGACUCCGUGCUUGAUGCUUUAAAAAAUUUGUGCUCCAUAAAAAUUCAUGCCAAAGUCAACCCAUAUGGCAUUCAAGAAGAUUUAGGUAUCAGACAAACAGAUUUGAGGCACUUAAACGUCGAUACUGAUUGUACAAUUUGACAAGCUAAUAUUUGUGUCUACACAAAUACCCAAACAUCAAAAGAAAUCAAAUUGAAAAUAAUGAUGGUUGACUAACCCAAUCAUUCUGCUUCCUGUAUCUCUGAAUCCCACAGUGGGUACUAGAAAAAACACCAGCAACAAGUCCUGUGCAAUAAUAGAAAAUACAAAUAUGAAAAAAUUGCUUAACAAGAAAGAUAUGGAAUAAAUUGCAAACAAGAAGCAAUGAAA